rnacentral:rRNA from 1 species
AGUGAACGCUGGCGGUAGGCCUAACACAUGCAAGUCGAACGGCAGCACAGUAAGAGCUUGCUCUUACGGGUGGCGAGUGGCGGACGGGUGAGGAAUACAUCGGAAUCUACUUUUUCGUGGGGGAUAACGUAGGGAAACUUACGCUAAUACCGCAUACGACCUACGGGUGAAAGCAGGGGAUCUUCGGACCUUGCGCGAUUGAAUGAGCCGAUGUCGGAUUAGCUAGUUGGCGGGGUAAGGGCCCACCAAGGCGACGAUCCGUAGCUGGUCUGAGAGGAUGAUCAGCCACACUGGAACUGAGACACGGUCCAGACUCCUACGGGAGGCAGCAGUGGGGAAUAUUGGACAAUGGGCGCAAGCCUGAACCAGCCAUACCGCGUGGGUGAAGAAGGCCUUCGGGUUGUAAAGCCCUUUUGUUGGGAAAGAAAAGCAGCAGGUUAAUACCCCGCUGUUCUGACGGUACCCAAAGAAUAAGCACCGGCUAACUUCGU